CUCCGCUCCGUUCCACUUGUGUUUUCCGUCGCGCGGCCGUGCUCUGAUCUGAGCCGAGUAGUUUAUUUUCCGUGUCCUCUCCGCUAAUCGGAAUUGCAUGCGAUUCGCAAUUCCACGUAUUACCCGUGCGUUUGCACGCGCCAAGCGUUGCUCGUCAUCGGCCUUCUUAAUGUACGGGAAAGAAGUCGAGAAGCGGAGAGGCUCCGCGAGCGUCUUCUACGUGGUGUUGGUGUCCUAGUGCUCGCGCGCCAACGGGACUCUGGGCGGUUACGUCACGUACGAAGCAUUUUUACACGAUCAGCCUUACUCUGUUAAAAAAAUGGAAUUACGGUUGCAUUCUCCGGCUGGAGCUGAACCCAUUAUCUAUCAGUGGCCUCUUACCUCUGGGUCAGGAUCAGAUCGACACGAUGGAGCCGUUGAUGUUGUGGAAACAAUGCGAUGGGUUUGCGAGGAUCUACCCGACUUGAAAAUUCCUCUGGAAAAUAAUAUUCUCUGUAACUAUGAUAUGCAUAAUUUUGAGAGCAUGAAAAAUUUAUGCGACAAAUUUAACAGAGCUAUCGAUAGUCGGGUUCAGUUGGAAAAAGGUACUAGUCUGCCAAUGCAACGACUGAAUAAAAGACCUAGCAGAGGCCUGCUUCGUCAUGUACUUCAGCAGACGUAUAAUCAAGCGGUAGUGGAGCCAGACAAAUUAAAUCAGUAUGAACCCUUUUCGCCAGAAGUCUAUGGAGAAACGAGUUAUGAACUUGUCUGCCAAAUGAUUGAUCAAAUUGAUGUUACCGACGACGACGUAUUUGUUGACCUAGGUUCUGGAGUUGGUCAGGUAGUUCUUCAAAUGGCUGCUGCUACCGCAUGUAAAAUUUGCAUUGGUGUCGAAAGAGCCGAUGUACCAUCCAAAUAUGCACAGAGCAUGGAGUAUAAUUUUCGCAAGUGGUUAAGCUGGUAUGGUAAGCGAUGCGGAGAGUAUCGGUUGGUUAAAGGAGACUUUCUUGCUGAUGAACACCGUGAGAGUAUAACAGGAGCCACAAUAGUUUUUGUAAACAAUUUUGCUUUUGGUCCGACUGUAGAUCACCAGUUAAAAGAGCGGUUCGCUGACUUGAGAGAUGGAGCAAGGAUUGUUUCAUCAAAGUCUUUUUGCCCGUUAAACUUUCGCAUUACCGAUCGUAAUCUUAGUGAUAUAGGAACAAUAAUGCAUGUGUCAGAGAUGUCACCCUUGAAAGGAUCUGUGUCAUGGACUGGUAAACCUGUGUCGUAUUAUCUCCAUGUUAUUGAUAGAACAAAACUAGAGAGAUAUUUUCAUCGACUGAAGAAUAACAAGACAGGGGCAAUUGACAUGGAACACUCUGAUUCUGUGAUAAGCAUCACUGCCAGCAAUAGUAGUAGAACAUCAAGUAGAGGUGGUGAGAGGGGUGACAGAGCCAAAAGAGAUCUUUCUAGGCAACUUGACAGCCCUAAUCACUCUGAACAGUUAGGUACAAACAGUGAUUCUGAUUUAGAAGAAAAUAGUAUAAAGAAUCGCCGACAGCCUUCUAAGCUUGGUAGAAAAUUAAAUCGAAAAGCCACCAAUGGAGUCUCCAGGCCUCCACCAAGAGGUCGACAAAGAGGUAGAGGCGUAAAGAAAACUAAACCUAAAAAGGCUAUCAAUAUUUCGGGAUUAGAUUUACUACACAGCCAAACACUGCUUAGUACAUCGCCUCAAGCACUUGGAAAAAAACCACCUCCGGCACCUGGAUGUGUCGAUCAACACCUUUCUUCCCUUUCUCUUGCUCUUCAGCCACAUUCUACCUCUGUUCAUGAAGAACUCAGUAUACCUGCAGCCCCUUCUGCCACCCCUUAUGCUCUUCAGAUUCUUCUCGAUCUUUAUAGGGACCAAUUUAUGGCAAUGUUAGAAUCGAUGAGAACACCAACAUACCGAGUAUCAGUAAAUACAGACAUUGCGAAAGAACGAGAAAGAAAUUCAAAACUGCAAUCAAGAGCUGCACAGCUUGAAAAACAGAUAAAAGUAUUGAUUGAUGACAGCGUAGCAUUAUUAAAAGCUCGGAUGACAGAAUUAGGAAUAAAUGCUACAUCACCUGGUGAUUUGUUAGCUAAGGCCAAGGAGAUUGUCAUGAGACAUAAGCAAUUACAAGCCAAAGCGAGUAAGCUUCAAGCCCAAGUGUCAUCUAUGGAGGCUGAACAGUCUAGACUCACAGCUAUAAGGCAUCAGGAGCUGCAAGAAAAGUACAAUAAUCAUACCAACACCAAUAGUGUUUCAAAUCCACCACAAUCUCUCACGCAAGACUAUAUUUUGAAAGAAAUUUCAACCACAUUAUCGCAGCGCAAGAGGCUGCAUUCCCAGGUGUCAAAACUACAACAUGAAUUGAGUGUGCUAGAGCGUGCGAGUAAUGAGAAACCAUCAGCACCGAUAAUUCAACAGCAGCAGCGAGAAGUGGUUGGAUCCAAACAUCAACAAAAUCAGCACGAACCACUACAAAACAAGACUGGAUCAUCACGGAAAAGUAGAGAAGGACGAUCUAGGUCCCAGGAAUGGCCUGAUGUUCCUGAUAUAGCGAAGAUUCAGGAGAAUAAUCCUGAAAUUUUAGCCCAAAAAAUCUUAGAAACAGGGAGACAAAUAGAAGCUGGUAGAAUACCAAAUAGACCAAGUACAACUACAGCACCCACUGCCAGGGCAAGACUGCCUCAAGCUACUCUCAGCUUCUCUUCUCCCUCUGCUUCCAUGCAAUCUCAAGUUAAUGUCAGAGAUUCGUGUAACAAAGCCCAAGAACCUCCGAGAGUAGCUAAUUUUGAAGAUAGAUUGAAAAGUAUCAUUACAAGUGUUCUAAACGAGGAUCAGCAGAAUAGAAGUAAACAGUUACAGCUUCAAGUACAACAGAUGCAGCAGCAAGCUGAGCCAGAGAGAAAACGUGUUGCACUGCCACAGAAUGUCACUACUCCUGAUUACACACAGGUUUCUCCGGCAAAGUUGGCACUUCGAAGACAUCUGUCUCAGGAGCGACUGUCCUCUCAUUUAACCACAUCAGAAAGAUCUGUGAUCGAUACUCGACAAUCUACACACGAUGAUCGAAUCACCAGAGGAACAGGAGUAGGAAAUGGAGGUACAACUGGCGGAGGGGGAGGAGGAGGAGCCGGAGGAGGAGGUGGUGGCGGCAGCAAUGGAGGGGCUGGUGGAGGAAUGCUUGGCACACGGACAAUUGGCGAUCUAGUGAGUGGAGAGAUUGAGCGAACACUUGAGAUAUCAAAUCAAACUAUUAUUAAUGCUGCGGUCGACAUGAGCGUUAUGGCCCGAGCAGAAGCAGUCUAUUCUCCAAUUAGUAGACCCGCAAGUGCCGAAGGUGAUGCAGGACUAGCAACUUUGGCACAUGUUGCCAGCUACGCUCCUACUCCGACUCCAACUACUAGUUCUACCUCUAUUACUGCCACACGGUCAUCCGUAUUAUACACCCCCACCACGCAACCUCAGAGGUAUACGCCAGUCCAGCUUCCCAGAGCAGAUAUCAAGCCUUACCAUGAGUCUUACUUUACUGACAAUCCAUCCCAAGUCCCCACACAGUCACACCCUUCUCUCCCAAUCCAAUCGUCUCAAGCAGCUACCAAUGGAGAAUUGCUGCCUGUGGAGGGGUUGGCUGCUUCUCUGCAUGCGCGGAUACUGAAUAACCACAAUACCACCACUAGUAGUGUUAAAAGUGAACCAACUGUUGUUAGCAGUCGAAGUAGGUAUCAACCUUACCCACGUUACGCAAGUGGAAAUAGCAGUAGUAAUGGCAGCGCUGCACUGUCGCAGUCACAUUCGGUAGUAUCGAUCAAAACUGAAACACCAAUUUCAUCUGUAAGCACAAGUGGUGCUCCUCUGAGCCCGUUGUUGGAACCUCAUUCUAAUACGUCUACACCUCUGGUUGAUGAACCACAAAUGACAACACAGAGGCAAAGAAAUGCAGCAGGGGAUGAUGAUGCACUGUAGCUGUAUGUUGGUUAGCUCUGUCUGUCACACACUCGAUCUCACUCACAACCCCUGAAGCUUGUUUUGUUAGAGAUUGAGACGCACAGAACAGAGGGAGAAAUCAGAAAGAAUGGCUGCCUUUGGGUUGGUGCGUGGUCACCGAUGGAGAAGCUGAUUGGCAGGACCGAAUCACCUCAGGGUUCGACAGAUUGGUUGCAUUCGCCUCC
rnacentral:misc_RNA from 1 species